UACGAAGGGGGCGAGCGUUGUUCGGAUUUACUGGGCGUAAAGGGCGCGCAGGCGGCGAUUUUUGUCAGGCGUGAAAGCCCCGGGCUCAACCUGGGAACUGCGCUUGAAACGGGAUUGCUAGAGAUCGGGAGAGGAGAGUGGAAUUCCCAGUGUAGAGGUGAAAUUCGUAGAUAUUGGGAGGAACACCAGUGGCGAAGGCGGCUCACUGGACCGGAACUGACGCUGAUGCGCGAAAGCGUGGGGAGCAAACGGG
rnacentral:rRNA from 1 species